rnacentral:lncRNA from 1 species
UUCAGUGAUGGCGCCGCCGCACUCAUUGUGGGGUCGGACCCUGACACAUCUGUCGGAGAGAAACCCAUCUUUGAGAUGGUGUCUGCCGCUCAGACCAUCCUUCCAGACUCUGAUGGUGCCAUAGACGGACAUUUGAGGGAAGUUGGUCUCACCUUCCAUCUCCUCAAGGAUGUUCCCGGCCUCAUCUCCAAGAACAUUGUGAAGAGUCUAGACGAAGCGUUUAAACCUUUGGGGAUAAGUGACUGGAACUCCCUCUUCUGGAUAGCCCACCCUGGAGGUCCAGCGAUCCUAGACCAGGUGGAGAUAAAGCUAGGACUAAAGGAAG